rnacentral:rRNA from 1 species
AUUGAACGCUGGCGGCAUGCCUAACACAUGCAAGUCGAGCGGAAGCACGGGGCUUUCUCCUGGCUUCAGCGGGGGGCGGGUGUGUGAUGCCCACGAGUAUACCUUGUAUAUGGGGCUAACGUCCGGACACGGGCGCUAAUAUCGCAUAUGUCCUGAGGGAGAACGUGGGGGAUCUUUGGAGCUCACGCGCUCUGAUGAUCCUCGGUCGGAUUAGCUAGUUGGUGGGGUAAAGGCCUACCAAGGCGACGAUCCGUAGCUGGUCUGAGAGGAUGAUCAGCCACACUGGAACUGAGACACGGUCCAGACUCCUACGGGAGGCAGCAGUGGGGAAUAUUGGACAAUGGGCGAAAGCCUGAUCCAGCAAUGCCGCGUGUGUGAAGAAGGUCUUCGGAUUGUAAAGCACUGUUAGUUGGGAAGAAGGGCAGUAAGUUAAUACCUUCCGGUUUUGACGGUACCAAAAGAAUAAGCACCGGCUAACUACGUG